UUCCGUGUAUCCUUGGGCCUUGCUGGCUCUGGCAGUCACUUCCUAGCCGUGGAAAGCAUGUUCUUGUUAUUGCCAAAGCCGUCACCAUUUAAUUGGUCUCAGAUUCUGACUUGAACAAGUAACAUCU
rnacentral:snoRNA from 1 species